rnacentral:rRNA from 1 species
AUUGAACGCUGGCGGCAGGCCUAACACAUGCAAGUCGAGCGAGCGGCGGACGGGUGAGUAAUGUAUGGGGAUCUGCCUGAUGGAGGGGGAUAACUACUGAAAACGGUAGCUAAUACCGCAUACCCUCAGAUGAACCCAUAUGGGAUUAGCUAGUAGGUGGGGUAAAGGCUCACCUAGGCGACGAUCUAUAGCUGGUCUGAGAGGAUGAUAAGUCACACUGGGACUGAGACGCGGCGCAAAAGCCUACGGGAGACAGCAGUGGGGAAUAUUGCACAAUGGGCGAGAGCCGGAUGCAGCCAUGCCGCGUGUAUGAAGAAGGCCUUCGGGUUGUAAAGUACUUUCAGCGGGGAGGCGUUACCCGCAGAAGAAGCACCGGCUAACUCCGUGCCAGCAGCCGCGGUAAUAC